AUUUCAAUCUGUGAAUUUGGCAUAAAAUCACAGUUCUUCUGUUUGUUGAUUUUUAAAUCAUGUGUAACGCAGUGUACAUUAAAUCACUGCUGUGUUUGGACUAGCUUGUGGCUAGAUACCUAGUUUAAAGUAUGAAGCUUAAGGUUUUUUUUGUGAAGUGGAUUGCAUGCAGCAUAUGGUUUCUAGUAAUGUCAGUCAUCUUAUCUGCAGCUGGUUUUAAUGUCUUGUGUCUCAUCAGAAUCUCAGCCCUGUUGUGCGGGACUGAUUGCAGUCGGAGUUGUAACAGCAAUAGCACUUGUGGCCGGACCAAUUUUCCUGAAGAUGCACAGAAAACAACAUAAACAUGUAUUUAUGCCUACUAAGUCCACAUAGAAGAUUUUAUUAUAUCUAUUUACAUGUUAAUAUACCUGUAAACAUUUUAAUUUGAUCAUUUUGUUUAUUCUAAACUGUUGAUUUAAUAAAGUUCAUGUUUUAUGUCAAAAGAAUGUGCUUGUGUUCAUUGGCUCGUUCUGUUCAUUUGGCCAAACUUGUACGUUGUUAAAAUGGAUCUUAAAGAUAUAAGCUGUUAUGUUUACAAAAAAAUGGAUAUCAUUGGUAUUAAUUUUCUCUGUACCUCAUUUGUUCCAAUUAAUCUGCUGUUUGAGUUUCUGCUAUUUUUGUUUUUGUUCAGAGAAUAAAAGUGUGCAAACUGAUCUUGAGCGUGGAGCGUGAUGGGAGGGUUUAGGGAAGUUCUGCUUGUUUGAGCAGAGAAUAGUGGCAUUAUUCCACAGGAAAAGGAAACCGCUCAGUUUGGAAACCUGGUGACACCUAAAGACCUUUGGUUCUGUGAACUCUGUGUUCAGACCAGUGCUGUAGAGACACAAACAACAUGUUUAAUGUGGGAGCUUCGCUCUAGUGUUUUUCAGGGUACAUGCGUCUCUUUCAGAAUCUUAUGAGAGGUGAACCUGUUGCGAUACGACAGAGAAAACACGGAAUUUAGGCUUCGAAAGUCAAGGUGUCAUGGGGUCAUGGAUGCUGGUUCUGUGUACCACAGUCACUCUGAUGCCUGUGUGUCUUCAUGGAGCAAUAUCAGUCCGCUUUAAGACCGGACGGCCUCUCUAUGUGGCACUCGGCCGAACUCUUGUUUUGGAAGUCGAAUUCAAGAAGGACUCGGACGACAAAAUAGACAUGGUGACGUGGGACCGCGAGAGAGGAAAUGUCACUGUCAGACUGUCACAUGGAAACAGAAUAUCUUUGGAGAACGGAGAUGCACUUCUGCGGGUCACUGAUGUUGCAGAAGGGGACCUUGCGACCUACAAAGUCACCGUUACAGACAGUAACGGAUACCAGCAGCAAGACUCCAUAGAAGUACAAAAGAUAGUGGAAUCUCCAAAGGCGUCAAUUACACGUGUGCUGGAUUGUGUUGUGGAUAAUCAUGGCAUGACUCAGUGGGACAGCCCUCAGUUUUCAUGGCUGGUUGAUGGUGUUACAGUAACCAAUCAAUCCGCCCUGUUAACUAAUGGCAGUAGACUAGAUAUCUCUGGGAUUAAGGGUGUUAACUACACCUGCAUCAUCAGCAGCAGUCUGGGGACACUCACAACACAUUAUGAAAUGCCAAAAGAAUCUCAGCCCUGUUGUGCGGGACUGAUUGCAGUCGGAGUUGUAACAGCAAUAGCACUUGUGGCCGGACCAAUUUUCCUGAAGAUGCACAGAAAACACCAUUAA
ensembl:lncRNA